AUCCGUUUGUAGUUCGUAAGUGUGAUGAUUGGGUGUUCAUUGCGCUUAUGUGACAUGUGCCUCCCACAAACCGUGUUAUGGCAUUGGCACAUGGCCUGUCUGACG